rnacentral:rRNA from 1 species
CAUUAAUGAGCAAGGGUCUUCUUGGCCCGACCUCCCAACCCUAUGUUUACUUAACCGACGUUGCUUCGGCGGGCCCGUCCUUGAGACCGCCGGGGGACCGUGAAACGUCCUCUGGUCUGUGCCCGCCGGUGGCCCAAACUACUUAACUCUUUGUAAUGAAUCGUGUCAUUGUCUGAGUAAAACCUUAAAUCAUAAGCAAAACUUUCAACAACGGAUCUCUUGGUUCUGGCAUCGAUGAAGAACGCAGCGAAAUGCGAUAAGUAAUGCGAAUUGCAGAAUUCCAGUGAGUCAUCGAAUCUUUGAACGCACAUUGCGCCCUUUGGUAUUCCGAAGGGCAUGCCUGUUCGAGCGUCAUUAUCACCCCUCAAGCCUAGCUUGGUGUUGGACGGUCGGUCGUGGUAUCCCCGCGACCCCUCCCAAAAGUAAUGACGGCGGCCUGUUGAACCCCCGGUACAUUGAGCUUCUUAAUUGAGCACGUAUCGGUUUUAAAGGGUGACAGACCCCGGUCUUCUUCCUUAACUGGAAAAACCUCACUAAGGUUGACCUCGGAUCAGGUAGGAAUACCCGCUGAACUUAA